UCACAGGUAUGCACUGUAGUCACAGGUAUACACUGUAGUCACAGGUAUACACUGUAGUCACAGGUAUGCACUGUAGUCACAGGUAUGCACUGUAGUCACAGGUAUGCACUGUAGUCACAGAUACAGUGCCUUGCGAAAGUAUUCGGCCCCCUUGAACUUUGCGACCUUUUGCCACAUUUCAGGCUUCAAACAUAAAGAUAGAAAACUGUAUUUUUUUGUGAAGAUUCAACAACAAGUGGGACACAAUCAUGAAGUGGAACGACAUUUAUUGGAUAUUUCAAACUUUUUUAACAAAUCAAAAAUUGGGCGUGCAAAAUUAUUCAAAAAAGUAUUAUUAUUAUUAUAUAGUAGUGGGGUAGUGUAGUGUGGGUAGUGUAUUGUAGUGGGGGUAGUGUAGUGGGGGUAGUGUAGUGUAGUGGGGGGUGUAGUGUAGUGGGGUAGUGUAGUGUAGUGGGGGUAGUGUAGUGUAGUGUGGGUAGUGUAGUGUAGUGUAGGUAGUGUAGUGUAUGGGGGUAGUGUAGUGGGGGUAGUGUAGUGUGGGGGUAGUGUAGUGGGGGUAGUGUAGUGUAGUGGGGGUAGUGUAGUGUGAAGUGUGACCAACCACUGUUUCCAUCCUGGGUGCAGUUGAAACGUAUCAAUCUGUUUUCACAGUGAGACAGUAGCAGAGAGUGUACGGUACACAACAUUGUCUGUAACCAACAACCUGAAGGACGGCGGUUUGAAUCCAAGGGCUUUCAGGGUGUGUACACAGCACUGUUUUCAUAGCAGUCACAGUCGCAGACUCUGUAUCAAUCGGAGUACAGUCAGACCUUCACAGCUCCCAACACAGGAAGAACAGUCAGUAACAGGGAGGGACAUGAACAACAGUCAGUAACAGGAAGAACAGUCAGUAACAGGGAGGGACAGGAACAACAGUCAGUAACAGGAAGAACAGUCAGUAACAGGGAGGGACAGGAAGAACAGUCAGUAAAAGGGAGGGACAGGAAGAACAGUCAGUAACCGGAAGAACAGUCAGUAACAGGGAGGGACAUGAACAACAGUCAGUAACAGGAAGAACAGUCAGUAACAGGGAGGGACAGGAAGAACAGUCAGUAACAGGGAGGGACAGGAAGAACAGUCAGUAAAAGGGAGGGACAGGAAGAACAGUCAGUAACCGGAAGAACAGUCAGUAACAGGGAGGGACAUGAACAACAGUCAGUAACAAGAAGAACAGUCAGUAACAGGGAGGGACAGGAAGAACAGUCAGUAACAGGAAGAACAGUCAGUAACAGGGAGGGACAGGAACAACAGUCAGUAACGGGGAGGGACAGGAAGAGCAGUCAGUAACAGGAAGAGCAGUCAGUAACAGGAAGAGCAGUCAGUAACAGGGAGGGACAAGAAGAACAGUCAGUAACAGGAAGAACAGUCAGUAACAGUCAGUAACAAGAAUAACAGUCAGUAACAGGGAUGGACAGGAAGAACAGUCAGUAACAGGAAGAACAGUC
ensembl:lncRNA